rnacentral:lncRNA from 1 species
UUCCCUUUACACAUUUUCAUAGUAACCUUGCUGGGGUUCCUGGGGGUGGGGUUCGCCCAACUGGUACCAAAUUCAUAUAUCCAUAUCUUGGCCUUCGUGGCCUUCUGUCAUGAAUUGGGCGUGGAUCCCUCCUUGGACUUCUUCUUCACCGUAUACAAGAUAGUACAAUCUAGGGAGAAGGGGUUCAAGGCCAUUAGUAAGCACUCUCCAAAGUCAGGAGAGAAGUUCGAGAGGCGUUCGCUGGUGAACACGCCUUCGAGCAAUAGGGGAUGGCACGAGAAGUGGUUCUAUGUCAAAGGUCC